AGUAAUGUAUGGGGAUCUGCCCGAUAGAGGGGGAUAACUACUGGAAACGGUGGCUAAUACCGCAUAAUGUCUACGGACCAAAGCAGGGGCUCUUCGGACCUUGCACUAUCGGAUGAACCCAUAUGGGAUUAGCUAGUAGGUGGGGUAAAGGCUCACCUAGGCGACGAUCUCUAGCUGGUCUGGGAGGAUGAUCAGCCACACUGGGACUGAGACACGGCCCAG
rnacentral:rRNA from 1 species